AAUAAUAUAUUAUUUAUUAUCAUCUAUUAAGUGAUUCUUUUAGCAACUCUAAAUUUUAUUUCUGUCAUUGUUGAUUUGUUUUUAAUUAUAGCCUGCAUGUUGUUUCUCUUGUAGUAAUGUUUGGAUUUUACUUUCUAAGGGCAUGUAUUUUCUUUGGUGAAAACUGAAGGCAUAUAUUGUGACCCACACAGAUGCUGGGACCACUUUUCUCUAAAAGGAAAUCAAGCAGUGACAGAUUGCUUUGAUCUGAUGCAUUUGACAGUACAUCAUGAUUGUAUCCAUGAUUUUGUCUCAUCUGUGUUUUAUCUUACCUUCAGACUUAAUAGUUUGUAAAAUGAUAAGCAGAAAGUAGUCUGUGUGUCCAGCAUAAAACAAAGAGAAGAUGAAGUUCCUUUAUGGAAUUUGUGAAGUGUGAAAAAUUUGCUGUGAUAUGUAAUGGUGUAUAAUACUUAUAUGUUUAUUAGCUUGUUGGUUAGGUCAAUCUUAAAACCGCUGCUUGAUAUUCCAGCAUCAGAUCAGUUCAAAUGUGACAUGCCCAUCAUUUUGGUUUGCUGUGUCCUAAUGGUGGGGCAUAGAAUGUGAAGGUUUCAUUUUUUAAAAAUCAGGCUAAAAAUGUUACCAACAUCUAAAUCAAACUGUUAUAGCCCAUUGGCAACUGUAUUCCCCACCUUUUUCAAUACCUAGUAACUCUUUAUUUUGUAUUCAUGGGUUUUGUAUGGUUGUUUCCUUGAAUAACAUUAACAAGUUGAUCUUUGUAAUGGUCAAAUAUUGUUUUAUUUGUGGUAUGGACUGAAUUCUUAAAUAUUAUUAGGUGUGCUUCAGUUUCAAAGGGUUAAAGGAGAUUCAGUGAAAUCAAGUGCCAGUUUUUGCAUAUUUAUGGUCUUUGGGGUCUGGCAUCAAAAGCAUUAGGAGAUGAUAAAUAAGACAUAAUUACCCUUGGGCACUUACUUAAAUUAAAUUGUGCUGUUGGCUACUGACUAAAUGGCUACUUUGCAGGAGCUGAUUUUCUCACCAUGCAUGUGCUUGCUGUACUCAACUCCUAGUUAGUAGUUGUAAAUCAGUUAAAAACAGGGCAAAGUAUGUUUGCAUGAUCGUCUGUGUUAGUAUCCGAGUGCUCUAGUGAUGAACCGCGGCUUGCUACGAUUUAAUCAUAGUAUUACUUCAGCAUCUUUCACUGUAUUAAAAGUUAUUAUUCUGUGUGUGAAUAAAAGAAUAUGGUACAAACAUUAGGACAAAUAAUUGCUUACUGUUUAUGGAUGAUGAUGUAGUUUAAGACAGUAGGAUGAAUCUGCAAGUUGGAGGCUUGGAUUACCUUGACAUUUUUGGUGCCAUUACUGUGGCUGAAGUAGGAUGUUUCUUUGAAAUCUGAGAAUAUUGUGAAUUAUGUUCAUGUGACUAUAUUGAAUCAGUAGAUUUUAUUGUACAUUUUGGAUUUGGUUGUAUUAAAACAGGUUAAUAGUAAGUCUGUUAAACUAUUUUACAGACUAAAUGAAAGUGGAGGAAAUUUGCAAAUAUGUGUCCUCAGACAUAUGGAAAACUGUAGUUUACUUGAAGUUAUGGUCCAUGCAUUAAGAUAUAAAGUAUCAUCUGUUAUAUGCCUGAGGGCUUUUGUAACUUGAAAUUUGUCUUUCGUGACCCAUAAGUUAUUUUCCGUUGGUAUUACACAUGUUUUUAGUUGUAGCCAAAAUCAGUAAUUUUUAAUUUUUUGUCAGUGGGUUAUAUUUGCUUAUCUAUAGGAGAAUUGUUUUGAAAUCCUCAUGGCAGUAUUUUAUAGUGUUCAAAUAUAUGAAAAUAUAACAAUUACAUUAUUAGAGAGACUUCAUAUGUUUGGAUAUUACAAAUUGUGUUAACCCUGCUUGCAAAGUCAUCUAAUGGUGGUUAUUUCCCUAUAACCUUGCAUGAGAGGGACCACAAGGAUAAGAAGUGUAUGAUCAGGAAGCAGAGUAUGCAGUAAGGCUAUUUUGCAUGUGGUGUGGAAUGUCUAGAAUUUCCCGUUGUUCAUAUACUGUUGUCGAUAUGCAUUUGAAUAAAAAGUACCUUAAAUGUUUGUAUAUUAGCCCAGGGUACUAGUUGCAGCUUGUCCUGAUAUGGGCUACACCUUGAACAAAAAUUAUUUUUAAGGUUAGUGUUCAGUAAAAAAAAUUAUAUCAUUAUAAAGGAGUACUUGAAUUUGGAAAUAUUCAUUAAUUGAAUCAACACAGUUCUGAUUAUUACACAUUUUAGGUGUGAAAACCAUGUUUUAAGAAAGGCAUCUAAAGGCACUUGUUAACAGUUUUUGUGCCAGUACUGGGAUAAAAUUCAAAAACAGGGUACUAUAUAUCCCUGAAGUUUAAUCAAACAUUUAUCAUAAUUUCAGUAUUUUGAAACUUGCAUUGUUUUGCUUGUCUUGACUGCAGUACAAGGAGAACUGUUUGUGAGUGUUCUGCAUCCUGGUCAUUGAGUGGUGACGCAGCUAGAGGACAGAGUGGGAUGGCUUGUCCCACUUUUCAUGUAUGGCUUGUGCUUCUAGUCUCUAACUGUUACUAACAAUGAACACUGGUUUUCCAUUGCACAUACUAAUAUUUGUAUGUAUACAAGUUUUUUGAGUGCCCAAUAAACUUAGUUAAACUAUGAAUGACUUAA